rnacentral:misc_RNA from 1 species
CUGCUUGCUCACGGCACCGCUCGGGAAACCGGGCGGGGUCGGGCAUGCCACCCUUGCCUAUGUAUACCUGUCGUUCCUUCCCUCGGCGGGGCAACCCGCCGAUGGGAUCACCAAACCCUCUUGUAUGAAGCAUCAAAACCUUCUGAAGAAAACUAAAUAAUCA